rnacentral:lncRNA from 1 species
UGGACCUAUUCUUCUACAGAGACCCUGAAGAAGCAAAGGAGGAGGAGGAAGCUGCUGCUGCCCCUGAAUUCGCUGCUAUCACUGAUUACCAAGCACCUGAACAGUGGGGUGGCGACCAGUGGACCUCUGAUGUGGCUCAGCCUGUUGCUGUUGGUGGCACUGGUGCUGAGUGGGGUGCUGCUGCAGGUAUGUACUGAUAAAAUUUUAUCAUCUUUGGUAUGGAACUCAUGCAGAAAUCUAGCUGUGUUGAAAUGGAAACUAUAUAACCCACACCUUGCUCUAUGCCCUGAGUUGCUCUUAUAAGUUUGUUGUGGUAACACGAAGUGAUCACAUUUUUCUUUGCAGCUCCGGUUCCUACUGGCGAUGGCUGGGAUCCAGCUGGUGCUCCCCCUCCACCUGUGGAAGGUGCGGUACCUCCGGCUGUUGCUCCUACUGGAUGGGACCCAGCAGCCCAACCCCCCGCUCAAGGCUGGGAGUAGGCAUAGGCCCUCGCUUCGUGAUGUGUCUUCCGCGGCUUAAAAUCAG